rnacentral:ncRNA from 2 species
AUGGCACGACAGGGGAGCGCACCAGGCGCUGAGAGUGCGGGACAGCCCGCAGACCCUCGAACCUGAUCCGGUUAGUACCGGUGGAGGAAGUCGAGCCCCUUCUCGA